rfam:Gossypium hirsutum cultivar TM-1 unplaced genomic scaffold scaffold1588.1, whole genome shotgun sequence
UAUUUAAAGUUUUAUCUAUUUGUACUGUUAAAAACUAGCAUAGUCGACAGAAUAAUCAGACAGUGAGAUGUGACAACCACAUGUAUCUUAUGUGAAUAUACAGAAACUAGUUUUUAACAGUAAUAAUAGAUAAAACUUUUAACA